AACCCAACAGUUCUGACUCUUGAGAGGAGAUUCAAAUUUUCUUUUUUGAGAGCAAGUUCAAAUUUUAGAUGUGAAUGGGCGGAGGGAACUGAACUGAAAUUUUCGCAUUGAAACUUUUCCAAACAUGAAAUAAUCACAAUAUCAAUGUCUUCCAUGGGUUGUGGGUCAUUUUCCCCACACCGAAAAAACUGUUUUCCUGCCGAAUUUGGGUCAUCGUUUCCAACUUCCUACUCGGCAGCGAUGGAGACUUCAACACUGCCCCUGCUCAUUGCCGCAGGCCAGCUCCACGUUUCCUCCCCUGCAAUCCCUCGCCUCCUCAUCGCAUCGUGGAUAGACAAAUAGCAAUCCAAUUAUCUAAAACUUCUAGACCUGAGAGGUAUGUUGUUCCUCCAACAAGGAUGACAUUACUUGCUCCAAGAUUCAAGCAAUGAAUGGAAGAAGUUCAGACUUUAGAGAAGCAAAUAAGCAGAGAUGGAGAGAAAGGUUUCACAACUACAAAAAUCAGGAGGAUAUUUCAAUGAAUAGCUGAAAAAUAAGUCUGCUGAUGCUUUCAUUUGUGAAAACAAUUAUACUUUCUACAUUGAAGCCUUCCUGCCUAGCUUUCUUUUAGGAAUCCUUUGUUUUUACUUUUUGGUUUUCAUCUACCAAAGUGAAUUUGUUUUUAGAUUGCUUUAGUUUGAAAGAAACUACUUUUUGUACUUAGAGAUUUACUCAAAUUUGACUUGGAGCCCAUGGAAAGUUAUGUACUAAUUUUA